ACAGGAAGGGGCGGGGUUCGAUUGACUUUUGGCGGCAAAAUUUGAAGAACCGAACGGACGGAGCUGAGGAGGCAUUUGAUUUUCAUUUCGUAUUGCGCAAUUGGGGAGAAGCUGUCACGAAAUUAGAGACCUACAGACGGGUUUGUGUGGCUGACGGCCUUUUGGAAGGGUAGCUCCCCUCGUAAUGCAGUUUUAUUAAAACUGUUUUUGUCUGUGUCUGGAUACCGUCCGUUCGUGGAAAGAUCUCUUUUGAGAAACACCUGCCAACUCUUCUCCAUCGGUGCGAGGACUCGCCACUGUCUGCAUUUUGUUUUAGUUUUUUUCCCCCCCUUUUUUGGUUAUUUUUACCGUGCGUUUUAAUUUUCACCAAAUCUAAUGAACGGAAAGGAGAGAUAAGACAUAACAGCUCCGGCCAGGAGGCAGUGAUGAUCCAGCCCUACAUGGACAUCUUCUCCGCCGCCGGAGCCCGAGCCUGUUUCCCAUUUCUCCUCGCGACUCCGAAAUGAGGCCGGAACGCCCGCUGUGCUCGUGGGACGUCCCGCUGUACGCGUGACCCGCGGGUAGAGGAAGACAAAAGUUAAAUCGGUCAUUUCAAGCAUGCAGGAAGGUCUGGGCCAGCAGAGGAGGCUCACAUAGUCUGAGUCACUGGGGACAGCCAAUCGCCUCCCCCCAUCUGCAGGAGCCCGGCCCAGUGUCAUUCCAGAGGACGAACGGCUCGCUAAUUAAAAAUAUAAUGAAUAUUUAA